rnacentral:lncRNA from 1 species
GAUAAUAUUAUAAUCCAUAAUAUGAUCUAAUAAAAUGGACUAAACUCUAAUAUAAAAUGACAGCUUAAAAGUGUAGACUUAUGUAGGAAACCCUAAAUCCUAUCAUGGGUGGGACUAGGAAUUCACUAUACAAUGGUAAUAUUAGGUCCCCUCUCAUAUCUACACAACAACAUUAAGAUCUCACCCAUUAAGAAGUUAUGUUGAAAAGGAUGUGAAAAAUCCUAAUGCAUUGAAUCCUAACUGUCACGACCCGGUACUCCCCUUGAGC